GACCCUUCACCGCUGUCGGUGAGCGUUCGCUGCAAUACACAUCCAAGCAUAUGAGUGUUUUUCAUCGAAGAUGAACUGAACAAAAGAGCAGUAAAGAUAUUCGUUUUCUGGACAUUUUUCGCCGAUAGGUUGAGGCGAAUGAGUCCUGUCGCUGUUGCUGCUUUUCUAUUGUGUCCUCGGCUGCCGAACUCGUACAAAAUAAGUAAAUUUUCUGGCAAAUAUACUGAAAGAGUUAUAAAAAAAAUAAAUACAGUAAUGAAAAUACCAUGUAUAAAUGUUUGCAAUUAAAUACGAAAAAUCUACAUAAUCCAAAGCUUUGUUUAAGGGUAUUUAUAUAAGGACAACGUUAUACUAGCAAAAACGCUGGGGAAGAACAAAAGGUGGUUUUUGGAAAUAUUUCUCUACGUUCAUACUUUUUCAGGAAAUAUUGGAACAUUUUCUGAUAUGUAAAGCUCUUAUAUACACUAAACUAACAAUGGAAUGGAUAAUGGAAAAAGUUGUAUUGGUGUUUUUUAUUACUAGCUCAAAUAUGGACGAGAAAGAUCGCAAAGUACUUUCAGAAAUAC